rnacentral:rRNA from 1 species
AGCGAACGCUGGCGGCAGGCCUAAACAUGCAAGUCAAACGGGUAGCAAUACCAGUGGCGAACGGGUGAGUAAUACAUGGAUAACCUACCUUUAAGUUGGGAAUAACACAGAGAAAUUUGUGCUAAUACCGAAUGUGACGGUUCAGCAAAGGCUGGAUUGGUUAAAGCAGCAAUGCGCUUAGAGAUGGGUCCAUGGCUGAUUAGCUAGUUGGUGGGGUAAAGGCCCACCAAGGCGACGAUCAGUAGCCGGCCUGAGAGGGUGAACGGCCACAAUGGAACUGAGACACGGUCCAUACUCCUACGGGAGGCAGCAGUUAAGAAUCUUGCUCAAUGGGCGAAAGCCUGAAGCAGCGACGCCGCGUGAACGAUGAAGGUCUUCGGAUUGUAAAGUUCAGUAAGUAGGGACGAAAAAAAUGACGGUACCUACCUAAAGCACCGGCUAACUACGUGCCAGCCGCCGCCGUAAAAC